rnacentral:rRNA from 1 species
GGGUUGUGAGGUUAAGCGACUAAGCGUACACGGUGGAUGCCCUGGCAGUCAGAGGCGAUGAAGGACGUGCUAAUCUGCGAUAAGCGUCGGUGAGGUGAUAUGAACCGUUAUAACCGGCGAUUUCCGAAUGGGGAAACCCAGUGUGUUUCGACACACUAUCAUUAACUGAAUCCAUAGGUUAAUGAGGCGAACCGGGGGAACUGAAACAUCUAAGUACCCCGAGGAAAAGAAAUCAACCGAGAUUCCCCCAGUAGCGGCGGGCGAACGGGCAGGAGCCCCGCACCUGACCCCGUGUGUGUGUUCGUGUCACGAUCUGG